rnacentral:rRNA from 1 species
GUAGGGAAUCUUCGGCAAUGGACGAAAGUCUGACCGAGCAACGCCGCGUGAGUGAAGAAGGUUUUCGGAUCGUAAAACUCUGUUGGUAGAGAAGAACGUUGGUGAGAGUGGAAAGCUCAUCAAGUGACGGUAACUACCCAGAAAGGGACGGCUAACUACGUGCCAGCAGCCGCGGUAAUACGUAGGUCCCGAGCGUUGUCCGGAUUUAUUGGGCGUAAAGCGAGCGCAGGUGGUUUAUUAAGUCUGGUGUAAAAGGCAGUGGCUCAACCAUUGUAUGCAUUGGAAACUGGUAGACUUGAGUGCAGGAGAGGAGAGUGGAAUUCCAUGUGUAGCGGUGAAAUGCGUAGAUAUAUGGAGGAACACCGGUGGCGAAAGCGGCUCUCUGGCCUGUAACUGACACUGAGGCUCGAAAGCGUGGGGAGCAAACAGGAUUAGAAACCCCUGUAGUCC